AACGAACGCUGGCGGCAUGCUUAACACAUGCAAGUCGAACGCUUGUCGGGCUUCGGUUCGGCGAGAGUGGCGCACGGGUGAGUAGCGCGUGGGAACCUGCCUUGGAGUGGGGGAUAACCGAGGGAAACUUCGGCUAAUACCGCAUGAUCCGGCUGUCUUGAGAGAGGUGGCCGGCAAAGAUUUAUCGCUCUGAGAGGGGCCCGCGUCGGAUUAGCUAGUUGGUGGGGUAACGGCCCACCAAGGCUUUGAUCCGUAGCUGGUCUGAGAGGA
rnacentral:rRNA from 1 species